UAGGGAAUAUUGCACAAUGAGCGAAAGCUUGAUGCAGCAACGCCGCGUGCGCGAUGACGGCCUUCGGGUUGUAAAGCGCUUUUCGGGGAGAUGAGGAAGGACAGUAUCCCCGGAAUAAGUCUCGGCUAACUACGUGCCAGCAGCCGCGGUAACACGUAGGAGGCAAGCGUUAUCCGAAUUUACUGGGCGUAAAGCGCGUGCAGGCGGUUCGGUAAGUUGGCUGUGAAAUCGCCCGGCUCAACUGGGGGGGUACGUUCAAGACUG
rnacentral:rRNA from 1 species